rnacentral:rRNA from 1 species
AACGAACGCUGGCGGCGUGCUUAACACAUGCAAGUCGAACGGAAAGGCCCUGCUUGCAGGGUACUCGAGUGGCGAACGGGUGAGUAACACGUGGGUGAUCUGCCCUGCACUUCGGGAUAAGCCUGGGAAACUGGGUCUAAUACCGGAUAGGAGCCAUUUUUAGUGUGAUGGUUGGAAAGUUUUUUCGGUGUAGGAUGAGCUCGCGGCCUAUCAGCUUGUUGGUGGGGUAAUGGCCUACCAAGGCGGCGACGGGUAGCCGGCCUGAGAGGGUGGACGGCCACAUUGGGACUGAGAUACGGCCCAGACUCCUACGGGAGGCAGCAGUGGGGAAUAUUGCACAAUGGGCGCAAGCCUGAUGCAGCGACGCCGCGUGGGGGAUGACGGCCUUCGGGUUGUAAACUCCUUUCGCUAGGGACGAAGCUUUUUGUGACGGUACCUAGAUAAGAAGCACCGGCUAACUACGUG